CUCAUUUAAAAUCCCCACACUUUUAGGGAGUGGCUUUGGAGCGUUGUAUAUGCUCCUGGAAAAGCAAAGGGCACAUGAGCUCUCCCCAGGCAGACAAACACAAGCUCUUGUUCAGAAUUUCACAUCUGGCUUUUGCUAUCCUUUGGUCUAUAUAGAUAACCAUUCAUUCAUCCAACCACCACUGCAACCACUUUCAUUUCUUGAUAUGGCCUAGAAACCAUGAGGCUCUGCCAUCUUUUACACCAUUUAACUGGGGCAGCACACAAGAUGACAAGCUAUGUUAUGUGAGGCUUAAAAGAUGAAGAAGCAAGUCUUUGGCUAAGAGAAAAACUAAGGUGCAAGUAGCUGAAGAUCAUAAUCCAAUAGGGUCUGAUAUGGAACCAUAUGAAAUGCCUGGAAAUCUUCCAAAAAAGAACUGGAACUGGGAAACAGCAACCUCAAUUCCCAGGCUCAAGUGAUCCUCCUGCCUCAGCCUCCUGAGUAGCUGGGACUACAGGUGCACAUCACCAUCCCUGGCUAAUUUUUAACUUUUUGUACAGAUGGGGUCUCACUAUGGCAGCACUGAUGGAGUCUUCGUUUUCCACAGCAGCAGCACAUCCUUCACCACCUUCCCUCCAUCUCCAUCUCCAUCUCACUCUCCCCGCUUCUUCACUCCUGCUUCUGGGAAUUGCUUUCCACAUAAACACUCCACACUCAAGGACUCGCUUUAGGCUCUGCUUUCAGCAGACUUAAAUCAGGACACUGUAUUUCCUGAAGCAGCUUUUUCAGAAUUAAAUGACCAGUUUCAGUUUAAUAAGACUGGGAGUAGGAGCCUGGCCGGGCACAGUGGCUGACAUCUAUAAUCCCAGCACUUUGGGAGGCCAAGACAAGUGGAUCGCUUGAACUCAGGAACUGAAGACCAGCCUGGGCAACAUAAUGGGACACCAUUUCUACAAAAUAUACAAAAAUUAGCCGAGUGUGGUGGCAGCUACUUGGCCUGUGUUCCCAGCUACUUGGGAGGCUGAGGUGGGAGGAUAACUCGAGCUCAGGAGGUCGAGGCUGCAGUGAGUUGUCAUCAUACCACUGCACUCCAGCCUGGGUGACAGAGCAAAAAACCCGUCUCAAAAAAAAUUUAAAAAAAAUAAAAAAACAAAAAAGGAGCUCUUCUGCCUUCUCCAUACAUACACGCAUUAAAGUUAUGACUUCUAGGUCACUGGAAUGAUCCUGACAGCUGCUAGGGUCUGGGGCAAACAUAUUCCGGGUACCUAUAUCUUCCUAACUGCAAUUUUUUUUUUUUUUUUUUUUUUUUUUGAGACGGAGUCUCGCUGUGUCUCCCAGGUUGGAGUGCAGUGGCGCGAUCUCGGCUCACUGCAAGCUCCGCCUCCCGGGUUCACGCCAUUCUCCUGCCUCAGCCUCCCAAGUAGCUGGGACUACAGGCGCCCGCCAACACGCCCGGCUAAUUUUUUGUAAUUUUAGUAGAAACGGGGUUUCACCGUGUUAGCCAAGAUGGUCUCGAUCUCCUGACCUCGUGAUCCGCCCGUCUCGGCCUCCUAAAGUGCUAGGAUUACAGGCGUGAGCCACCGCGCCCGGCCCCUAACUGCAAUUUUUAAAAAAUGUAUCAGUUAUAUAUUCAAAUGAUAUAUCUAAAAUAUUGACAUGGUAAGCAUUUCGGUGUUAAUCAUGGUUCCAGAAUAAUUGUUGGUUUGUUCUAGCAGACUAUUUAGAUCAACUCCCAAACAGCCAAUGAUGAGGAAAUGAAAGAAGAUGACAGUGUGAAAACAGCAGCUCAGGGCCAUACCUGGUCUGCCACUUCUCCAUGGACUCUCCUCUUUCCCGUGGCAGAUAGCAGCAUUGCUGGAAUUCAUUAGCAAAGAGAAUGCAAUCAUGACGCGCAUCCUUCAGCAGGUUUCGCAGAAAAAUAAAUCUAACAAAGCAGGUACUCAUCCACUGCUAUCUCUUGCUAAGGAUCAAAAAAGGAUGGGGUAUUUUAGAGCAAAAGAUUGAUUACUUUAAACCUGAAGAACAUGUAUUUAUAUUGGUCUCAGUGUGCUCAGUCCUAUCGGGCUACUAUUGUUUCUCGAUUUUGCCUGCUAGAAGGUGCUUGGGCAGGGCCUAGUUAAUUAGUUUGCAGAUCAAUUAAACUCCUUCUCUCUCCUUUCCCCUUCAGGACUUCCAGCCAUUUUAUUAUGUAAUUAUACCACCUUGCCCUGCCUAGCCCCUUCUUCAAAGCCUGAGUGCACGGAGGCAAGCAGAGAGUUUAGCACUUUAUUUUUGGACCUCACUUUGUUCUACAAAUGUCAUUAAGCAUUAAUACAUUUGACUUUUUGCUGGCAGCCCUAGACAAGAACAUGUAAGGUAAAUAAGUUUGGGGAUUUAUCUGUGAAUUUUAUUUAUGCAGCCACCCUGAUUUACAUAAAUGAGAGCUAGCCUCAUCUGUCAGACAACUAACAGAAAGUUUUAAGGUUUUGUCCAUCAAGAGAUCCUUCCCAUGGCCGAGGAAGGAGGAUGGUUUGAGGCCAGGAGUUCAACACCAGCAUGGGCAACAUAGGGAGACCCUGUCUCUACCAAAAAAUACAAAAAUUAGCAUGGUAGCGUGCAUCUGUAGUCCCAGCUACUUGGGAGGCUGAGGUGGGAAGAUUGCUUGAGCUUGGGAAGGCAAGGCUGCACUGGGCCACUACAUUCCAGCCUAGGUUACACAGCGAGACCUUGUCUCAAAAAACAACAACAAAAAAGAUCCUUCCCACAUUGCUGGCCGAAGCCACAAAUCAAACAUCAAGUCUCCUAUGGGUCAGUUUCUAAGAAGGUGCUUUUCAAUAGUCUAGAUACUAUAAAAUUACAGAAAACACUCAGUUAUGUUAAAGGGAGUCAACUGCUUAUUUAAAGAUGAAUUUGCUGGGUGUGGUGGCUCAUGCCUGUAAUCUCAGCAUUUUGGGAGGCUGAGGAAGGAGGAUUGCUUGAGCCCAGGAGUUGGAGACCAGCUUGUGCCAAGUAGCAAGACCCCAUCUUUACACAAAUUAAAAAUACAAAAAUUAGCUGGGCAUGGUGGUACGUGCCUGUAGUUCCAGCUACUCGGGAGGCUGAGG
rnacentral:lncRNA from 1 species